rnacentral:rRNA from 1 species
UACGGGGGGGGCAAGCGUUGUUCGGAAUUACUGGGCGUAAAGGGCGCGUAGGCGGCCUACUAAGUCGGACGUGAAAUCCCCGGGCUCAACCCGGGAACUGCGUCCGAUACUGGGAGGCUUGAAUCCGGGAGAGGGAUGUGGAAUUCCAGGUGUAGCGGUGAAAUGCGUAGAUAUCUGGAGGAACACCGGUGGCGAAGGCGGCAUCCUGGACCGGUAUUGACGCUGAGGCGCGAAAGCCAGGGGAGCAAACGGG